ensembl:lncRNA
GGGUGUAUAGCCAAUGACUGCUAGGAGCUGCCAGAAGCUGGAAGCCGUGAAGAAGAAUUGUCCUCUAGAGAUCUUGGCACACUGACUUCAGAUUUCUGGCCUCCAGAGACUUAGGAUUCCGAACAUUCAUUGAGCCACUUCUUCACAGCUGCUAAUGGAAACCAGAUAACACCAAGGUUUACCUCACACUAGAAGUAUACAGAGGAUGGCUGCUAGUGAUAUCAGUGGGGCUCCAAACCUCCUGGAUCCCAGGUGAGGAGCACGUGCUGCAACAUAAGGCUUCCCUGUUCAAACAGGAGCAAGGUUGUACUGGGGCUUCCCUUGUGGCUCAGCUGGGAAAGAAUCCACCUGCAAUGUGGGAGACCUGGGUUUGAUCCCUGGGUUGGGAAGAUCCUGUGGAAAAGGGAAAGGCUACCCACUCCAGUAUUCUGGCCUAGAGACUUCCAUGGACUAUAGAGUUGGACAUGACUGAGUGACUUUCACUUAGGUUGUACUGAGAGUAUUUUUGUAGACCAAAUUGACUCAGUUUUAUACAAACAGCUACAGACUUCCAAUUUGAACUAAUGAAGUAC